rnacentral:rRNA from 1 species
UGGAGGAAACUCUGAUGCAGCAACGCCGCGUGGAGGAUGACGCAUUUCGGUGUGUAAACUCCUUUUAUAUGGGAAGAUAAUGACGGUACCAUAUGAAUAAGCACCGGCUAACUCCGUGCCAGCAGCCGCGGUAAUACGGAGGGUGCAAGCGUUACUCGGAAUCACUGGGCGUAAAGCGCGCGCAGGCGGCCUUUUAAGUUGGAUGUGAAAGCCUAUGGCUCAACCGUAGAACUGCAUCCAAAACUAUUUGGCUAGAGUGUGGGAGAGGAAGAUGGAAUUAGUUGU